rnacentral:rRNA from 1 species
CCGACUGCGGAGGAUCAUUACUGAGUUUUGAACGGGUUGUAGCUGGCCUAAUAAAAGGCAUGUGCACGCCUGGCUCAUCCACUCUCAACCACUGUGCACUUUAUGUAAGAAAUGAUGGAUGUUGGCAGUUUGUCAGUUGAAGUCUUUCUUAUGUUUUUAUAACCAACAUCAUAGUAACAGAAUGUACAAUUGCAUAUAAUGCAUUUAUAUACAACUUUCAGCAACGGAUCUCUUGGCUCUCGCAUCGAUGAAGAACGCAGCGAAAUGCGAUAAGUAAUGUGAAUUGCAGAAUUCAGUGAAUCAUCGAAUCUUUGAACGCACCUUGCGCUCCUUGGUAUUCCUCGGAGCAUGCCUGUUUGAGUAUCAUGGAAUUCUCAACUCCCAAGUUUCUUUUGAAGCAUGGUGAGCUUGGACUUGGAGGCUGUGCAGGCUUGUUUCGAGUCUGCUCCUCUGAAAUGAAUUAGUAUGAAUCUUAUGGAUCGCCGUCAGUGUGAUAAUUGUCUAUGCUGUGGCUGUGAAGUAUUUUCUAUGUUCAUACUUAUAAUUGUCUAUCCAAGACAUUAUAUUUGACUUCUGAUCUCAAAUCAGGUAGGACUACCCGCUGAACUUAAGCAUAUCUAACGGGGAGAAGAGAAGUA